GUGCCAGCACGCCUCGGUGAAUUCCAGCUCCAAUAGCGUAUAUUAAAGUUGUUGUGGUUAAAAAGCUCGUAGUUGAACCUUGGGCCUGGCUGGCCGGUCCGCCUCACCGCGUGCACUGGUCCGGCCGGACCUUUCCCUCUGUGGAACCCCAUACCCUUCACUGGGCGUGGCGGGGAAACAGGACAUUUACUUUGAAAAAAUUAGAGUGCUCCAGGCAGGCCUAUGCUCGAAUACAUUAGCAUGGAAUAAUAAAAUAGGACGCGCGGUUCUAUUUUGUUGGUUUAUAGGACCGCCGUAAUGAUUAAUAGGGACAGUCGGGGGCAUCAGUAUUCAACUGUCAGAGGUGAAAUUCUUGGAUCGGUUGAAGACUAACUACUGCGAAAGCAUUUGCCAAGGAUGUUUUCAUUAAUCAGGAACGAAAGUUAGGGGAUCGAAGACGAUCAGAUACCGUCGUAGUCUUAACCAUAAACUAUGCCGACUAGGGAUCGGACGGUGUUAUUCAUGACCCGUUCGGCACCUUACGAGAAAUCAAAGUGCUUGGGCUCCAGGGGGAGUAUGGUCGCAAGGCUGAAACUUAAAGAAAUUGACGGAAGGGCACCACCAGGGGUGGAGCCUGCGGCUUAAUUUGACUCAUACGGGGAAACUCACCAGGUCCAGACACAUAAGGAUUGACAGAUUGAGAGCUCUUUUCUUGAUUUUGUGGGUGGUGAUGCAUGGCCGUUCUUAGUUGGUGGGGGUGACUUGUCUGCUUAAUUGCGAUAACGAACGAGAUCU
rnacentral:rRNA from 1 species